rnacentral:rRNA from 2 species
UUCGCAAUGCCCGAAAGGGUGACGAAGCGACGCCGCGUGUGGGAAGAAGGCCUUCGGGUUGUAAACCACUGUCGGGAGUUAAGAAAUGUAAGGGUGUUAAUAGCGUCCUUACUUGACUAAGGCUCCGGAGGAAGCCACGGCUAACUCUGUGCCAGCAGCCGCGGUAAUACAGAGGUGGCAAGCGUUGUUCGGAAUUAUUGGGCGUAAAGAGCACGUAGGCGGAUUUGUAAGUCAGAUGUGAAAGCCUUCUGUUCAACGGGAGAAUUGCAUCUGAAACUACAGACCUUGAGUAUAGGAGGGGAGAAUGGAACUUCUGGUGGAGCGGUGAAAUGCGUAGAUAUCAGAAGGAACGCCGGCGGCGAAAGCGAUUCUCUGGCCUAUUACUGACACUCAGUGUGCGAAAGCUAGGGGAGCAAACGGGAUUAGAUACCCCGGUAGUCCUAGCCGUAAACGAUGGGCACUAAGUAGAGGGGUUUU